UUGUGGUUAAGGAACUCGGCAAAUUGCCCCCGUAACUUCGGGAGAAGGGGGACCUCUGUUGGUGAUGGGCUUUACGCCUGGAGCUGGUGGGGGUCGCAGUGGCCAGGGGGAAGCGACUGUUUACUAAAAACACAGGUCCGUGCGAAGUCGUAAGACGAUGUAUACGGACUGACGCCUGCCCGGUGCCGGAACGUUAAGGGGACCGCUUAGCCGACGUGAGUUGGCGAAGGUGAGAACUUAAGCGCCGGUAAACGGCGGUGGUAACUAUAACCAUCCUAAGGUAGCGAAAUUCCUUGUCGGGUAAAUUCCGACCUGCACGAAUGGCGUAACGACUUCCCCGCUGUCUCAACCGCAGACCCGGCGAAAUUGCACUACGAGUAAAGAUGCUCGUUUCGCGCAGCAGGACGGAAAGACCCCGGGACCUUCACUACAGCUUGACAUUGGCGUUUGGAACGUCUUGUGUAGGAUAGGUGGGAGACUGGGAAGCUGUCACGCUAGUGAUGGUGGAGUCAUUGGUGAAAUACCACUCUGGUCGUUUUGAACGUCUAACUCUGGUCCGUGAUCCGGAUCGGGGACAGUGUCUGGUGGGUAGUUUAACUGGGGCGGUUGCCUCCUAAAGAGUAACGGAGGCGCCCAAAGGUUCCCUCAGCCUGGUUGGCAAUCAGGUGUUGAGUGUAAGUGCACAAGGGAGCUUGACUGUGAGACUGACAGGUCGAGCAGGAGCGAAAGCUGGGACUAGUGAUCCGGCAUCGGCGUGUGGAGGCGGUGUCGCUCAACGGCUAAAAGGUACCCCGGGGAUAACAGGCUGAUCUUCCCCAAGAGUCCAUAUCGACGGGAUGGUUUGGCACCUCGAUGUCGGCUCGUCGCAUCCUGGGGCUGGAGUAGGUCCCAAGGGUUGGGCUGUUCGCCCAUUAAAGCGGUACGCGAGCUGGGUUUAGAACGUCGCGAGACAGUUCGGUCCCUAUCCGCUGCGCGCGCAGGAGACUUGAAGGGGGCUGUCCCUAGUACGAGAGGACCGGGACGGACGAACCUCUGGUGUGCCAGUUGUACCGCCAGGUGCACGGCUGGUUGGCUACGUUCGGAAGGGAUAACCGCUGAAAGCAUCUAAGCGGGAAGCUCGCCUUGAGAUGAGGUCUCCCACCACGAGAGUGGGUAAGGCUCCCGGUAGACGACCGGGUUGAUAGGCCGGAGGUGGAAGCACGGUAACGUGUGGAGCUGACCGGUACUAAUAGGCCGAGGACUUGACCU
rnacentral:rRNA from 1 species